rnacentral:rRNA from 1 species
UACAGAGGUCUCAAGCGUUGUUCGGAUUCAUUGGGCGUAAAGAGCGUGUAGGCGGCCCGAUAAGUCCGCUGUGAAAGUCCAGGGCUCAACCCUGGAAUGCCGGUGGAUACUGUCGGGCUCGAAUCCGGAAGAGGUGAGUGGAAUUCCUGGUGUAGCGGUGAAAUGCGCAGAUAUCAGGAGGAACACCAAUUGCGAAGGCAGCUCGCUGGGACGUUACUGACGCUGAGACGCGAAAGCGUGGGGAGCAAACAGG